UUGGCUCAGAACGAACGCUGGCGGCAGGCCUAACACAUGCAAGUCGAGCGGAUGAGAGGAGCUUGCUCNUCGAUUCAGCGGCGGACGGGUGAGUAAUGCCUAGGAAUCUGCCUAGUAGUGGGGGACAACGUUUCGAAAGGAACGCUAAUACCGCAUACGUCCUACGGGAGAAAGUGGGGGAUCUUCGGACCUCACGCUAUUAGAUGAGCCUAGGUCGGAUUAGCUAGUUGGUAGGGUAAAGGCCUACCAAGGCGACGAUCCGUAACUGGUCUGAGAGGAUGAUCAGUCACACUGGAACUGAGACACGGUCCCACGA
rnacentral:rRNA from 1 species